rnacentral:rRNA from 1 species
UAGUAUGGGGAUCUGCCCGAUAGAGGGGAAUAACUACUGGAAACGGUGGCUAAUACCGCAUAAUGUCUACGGACCAAAGCAGGGGCUCUUCGGACCUUGCACUAUCGGAUGAACCCAUAUGGGAUUAGCUAGUAGGUGGGGUAAAGGCUCACCUAGGCGACGAUCUCUAGCUGAUCUGAGAGGAUGAUCAGCCACACUGGGACUGAGACACGGCCCAG